CCACUGCGACUCAGCAAAUACACAAAAUCCCAGCUAGAGAGCUCUGCUCUAUUUUCUCCCUCCAAGCCAAAGCAAUGAGGCUCCCAUUGCCUCAUCGCCUCAUCUGUCUCUUCUCAGAAGAGGAAACAGAACAACCUCCCCACAGCAACACCGACACCCUCGGCCAUCUAUUUCCCACAGACACCCACAUUUGACCAGCUAUCAUGAAAGACACACAGUGGUUCUCUGAUGCCACCCUUCCAAAUCUCUAAGUAAGGAGCACAUCCUACCUGUAGGUAGAACCCUACAGCAUCCUACCUUCUCUGACUGUGAAAACAAACCAAGCAUGAAGACCGUGAAUACAACAGCCGGGUCUCCUAAGGGAGAGGGAAUCCGUAAAAGCAAACCAACAGACACAUCUUUUAAAAGGGGAAGAACACACAGCAUUCCACACUCACAUCUUAACAAGAGUUGGCAGGCCAGGUGCGGUGGCUCAUGCCUGUAGCACUCUGACAAAAAUGUAUUUAUAAGCUCAUAUACAUGGUUCC
rnacentral:lncRNA from 1 species